AAAACAAAGCUCAGGUUCACAUUAAAGUACUCCAACACAGUUAGGUCACUGGCUGACUAAAACAUAAUAUUUGCACUUAUAAAGAGGAGCAGGCACACUGCUUGAGAAAGGCAUGGAGCAAAACAGCCUUACCCACACUCCAGAGUAAAACACUACAUAUUUACUACCUCUGCAGGAGCAAGGCUAUUACUUAGAUUUCUACAAAGGUUAUUAACAAAAUUUGACAAACAAACCAACUCAGUUUCAUUAUAUACAAAUAGAGCACAAAUAAAACUCACGUUUCUAAACGAUUUCUGCUCAUUGAAUGUUAACAAAUGCAUUAUCAAAGAACUAGCACAUAAGAGAAUAUUCACUAUAGUGCCUUUAACGAAGAAAAGCAAACUUGACAGGCCUUUCAUCAAAGCUCUUUACUUGAGAAGCCACAAAAGUUAGAAGCCUAAGCAAAUUGACAUAUAACUUCUAUCCUAAAUGAAAUCAUAAAGUUAGCUUUCAUAACUAAACUUUAAAGUAACAUCCUAAAAACACCCAAAAGCAAACCAACAGUUUCCCUUAAACAAACACACCAAAAGUCACCCUAACACCAUAUCUACUACCCCCAAAAAACUGAUUUAACUCUUGGUGUGAGUAUUUAUACCCCAAGCCUGUUGUUGCCUGAUUGAUCUCAUUACCUUUGCUAAUUGGGCUGGACAUGCUUAAAUUCACCUGGAAAAGGGCAGCCGUUUUCUGUUUGGUGAUGGUGGGGUUGCAUGAGUGACCCUAACUGCUAAUAUUAAGAAAAAACCUGUUCCUUUGUCUUUUUCUGUUGCUUUGUGAGCUGAGUAGUACCUUUUAUCUACAUUUGUUUAAGUAACAUGUUAGGCAAAGAAUUUUUCCUAAGUCUUUGUGGUAUGGAACAAAAGGACAGACACCUUGCACAUGAAAGAAUAUCCCCCAGACCACCUGAUUUAGGGGUGAUGAAAACUUCUGAUCUGUGGACUGCAGUUUCAAGAGUUAAUUUAGGUGAUGUUUGGAUUUUGAGAUUCCCAUCCUGCACUGCUUGGGAAUCAAAGCAGCUCAGUGAUGCAGAGCUGAUCCUAAAAUGAUAAACCAGUUCAGCCUCAAUCUGUCAGAGGUUCUGCAAGUGCAUGGAAAUGUUUCUAUUCUGGUAUUUUGGGAGACCUUGCUUGUAAAUACAAGCAGUUAUUUAGGGAGAGUUUGAUUAAUUGGGAAGGAGAAAAGAAUAUGAUUAUAGGUUUGGCUUCCUUUUAUGCAUUUUUACAGAAUUGGAAUAGAGCACACAGACUGAUGCAGAAAGAAGUUUAUUGAAUGCUUCACUGACAAAACUACAAUUGUGGGAAUAGGUUUUUUGCUGUUUCAUUACUCCAAUUCUGAACCCUGAGCUAGGGUCCUGCUCCAGCAAAUGAUUUUGUGUUCAUAGAAUUUUUUUAGGUUUUAAAGGCAAGGUGAGGAACAAGUAAAGAAAAUUGAGCCAGUUAAUUUUUUUUUUUGUUUUUUUCACCACUUGAACCAGGAGCAGGGGUGGAAGAA